UGGGGAAUUUUGGACAAUGGGCGGAAAGCCUGAUCCAGCAAUGCCGCGUGUGUGAAGAAGGCCUUCGGGUUGUAAAGCACUUUUGUCCGGAAAGAAAUCCUUGGCUCUAAUACAGUCGGGGGAUGACGGUACCGGAAGAAUAAGCACCGGCUAACUACGUGCCAGCAGCCGCGGUAAUACGUAGGGUGCAAGCGUUAAUCGGAAUUACUGGGCGUAAAGCGUGCGCAGGCGGUUUGCUAAGACCGAUGUGAAAUCCCCGGGCUCAACCUGGGAACUGCAUUGGUGACUGGCAGGCUAGAGUAUGGCAGAGGGGGGUAGAAUUCCACGUGUAGCAGUGAAAUGCGUAGAGAUGUGGAGGAAUACCGAUGGCGAAGGCAGCCCCCUGGGCCAAUACUGACGCUCAUGCACGAAAGCGUGGGGAGCAAACAGGAUUAGAUACCCCUGGUAGUCCACGCCCCUAAACGAUGUCAACUAGUUGUUGGGGAUUCAUUUCCUUAGUAACGUAGCUAACGCGUGAAGUUGACCGCCUGGGGAGUAC
rnacentral:rRNA from 1 species